GGAAGAGAUGUAAGUGAUAUAAUUAAAUGUUAAGGGAUAAUAUAAUUUACUUUUUAAAUGAGGGGUGAAAGUGAUAAAGAAUAAUAGUUUAGAGGUGUGGGCGGGUUCAUGGGUUUGGAUUGAUUUUGCCAACCAGUACGUUCAUAACUUCAUAUUGACAUAUUCUGAUGAUAGAAGAGGAAACGUUCCGGUGUGGUAUGCAUUGUCAUUUUAAAAAAAAAUGGUUGAGAUGUCAACCAAUUAAUUUUAAGGGAAAAAUUGUAAGAGACAACUAUUCAUUAAUGGCAUCUAACCAAUAGAUCUGACAAGGGAAAUCAAUGUUAUUUUAGUAACUAGGGAGGAUGUAUAUGUUAUUAUCCGAAAUCUCAUGGGAGGUCACUCUAAUUUAUCUUUUAAAUUUUUAAAAUUGAUGUAAAAACUACAUUAAAACUAGAUUAAAUUAUAUUAUUUUAAUUAUUCAAAUUAAAAUUAUAAAGAUCAAAGUAAAACUUUAAUUAAACUACAGGGAUCAAUAUUGUAACUUACCCAUCCAAUUAUCUACUAACAAAACAAACAAAUGAUGACAUUUUCAUAUUUUUUUUCAAGCACUCUAUUUUUUCACAAACCGAUGUUGUGAGAAAACUACCACCAUUAGUUUUUUUUUUACCGCCUGGUAUUUCUCAUUAACAAUUAUAUGAAGACUUUUCCAUACAUUCUCAUUUAUUACAGUUAUCAAAAUCCACAAGCUAAGGUUUCCAUGGGUUGAAAUUCAAUUAAUAUUUGUUGACCUAGUAGGAGAACUAUUGCAAUCAACUAAUAUAACAAUUCACCAUCCUCUUGAACAAGUUACAAACAACAAUUAUUGAUAAUUUUCACUAGACAACUUAGGUUCCGUUUGGCACCCAGUUUUUUUUCAGCUUUUUUUUUUUUGAUUUUUUACUAAAAUAAGCAAAAAGUUAAUCAGAGUUGGCUUUUUUUACUUUUUGUUUUUUACUUUUUUUCUUAGUUUUAGUAUCUAAAACAGCCACAAAAGCAAAAAGUUAAAAAAUUAAGCCUUUUGAUAGCACGCUAAAAAAAACUUGGCUUUUAAGGCAUUACCAAACGAGCCUUAUUCCUAAAACUUACAACACCCAACUCAAUUCAUAGCCAAAUCAGUCCGUAUUUGGAUGACAGAAAUCUUGAAGGAGAAUAAAAAUGCUAUUGUUAGUCCCCAUAAUACCACAAUUUGGAUGUGCCAUGAAUAAGAAUGUAAUUUUCUGUCUUUCAUUUUAGUGAGAAUAAAAUUCUCAUUAUGAAGAGGAAUCUAAUCACUCCACUAGUAAUCUUCAGUUGUGUUUGGAUGUAAUGAAUUUUAUAAGGAAUUGAAUGGAGAUUAUGAUAGAGUUGGAAUAAAAUGAUGAAUGAAUAGUCAUUCUCAUUUUGUAAGGAAUGAAAUGGUCAAUGUGUGAGACAAAAUAUUUUAAUUUAUCCCUAAGUAUUAUUGAGUGGUAGUUUGUGCAUUCGGCACCUAUGGUUGUCAUUUGAAGAAGUUUGGAUCAAAUAUGUAGUAAUUUCAAGUUAUAAAAAAAUUGACACUACAUCGACCAAAAGUGUAAUUUCUAGGCAAAGGUCGCGGGACGACGAAAUACGCAUUAAAGUAUUUUGUUAUAAGCUAUGGGUUUUGUAUUCAAGAGCAUAUUACAUGAUCUAUUGAUCCAGUAUUUUUUAUGAGCUCUUGAGUAUUUGCAACAUCAAACUGAAGACAGGUCUGUGAAAGGUGUUUCAAGGCACGAUUUCGAGGCUCCUGUGGAUUUCAAGUUGGUUGAAGAGGUCGAGGUGUGAGAAGAGUUGCAUAAAAGUGGUUCACGAGAAUUCAACGAGUUUGAUAUCUGGGUGUGUGGAUUCACAAUAAGAUUAUGAGAAACUUUUGUAUUCGCUACUUUUGAUAGUGCAUUUUUUCUUGAUUCCGUAAUUUUUUCUCCUACUUUGUGAUUUUUCACGUAUAUUUUGUGUCAAUUAUUUACUAUAUAUUUACUGCAUUUAUUCUUAUAAAAUUAGUGGAUUCAUCACACACACACACACACAAGGGUUAAUUGACAAAUCUAUAAUUAGGGUUCUUUUUCAUGGUCAUUUCAAAUAAAAUGACUAUUCUAUUAAUUUUUGAUCAAUCAAAUACUGAAAUAAUUAUUCUAAAGGAUUUAUCAUUCAAUUCCAUCUUGUUAGCAUAAAUCCUUAAUCGAUUUUGACGAUUGAACCUAUGUAUGUUAAACGAUAUUUAAAUAUCUUUGAAAAUCAUUUAAAAUCGAAUGGUCGAGGUCCCAAUAUGCAUGAAACACCACGUAACUCAACAAAGUCCAAAACUGAUUUUGGUAUAUUAACUAUUUGUUUUUUGUAAUGAAUCAGGAACUGUCAAAAAUGCAGGCAGAAGUCACAAUUAGAGUUCUAUGUGAAUCCUAAGUUUAAAGUUGACUCCUAAUUUGACAGAAGGUUUGGCUGAUAACCUACGGGUUCAAGUAGGAGGUCCUAAGUUGACAUCCUAAGUUGGGACAAAAAAGUUUGGAUGACAACCUAAGUUCAAGAUAGGGGUCCUAAAUUGACAUCCUAAUUUUCAUAGAAGUGAAACGUCUAAUGUUGAUAUAAGGAUUUGGGACGACCUAAGAAAAUUAGGACGUCCAAGUUAGAGUGAGGACCACCUAGUUCAACUUAGGACGACCUAGUUGACAUCCUAAGUUUCAGUUUUAAAUCCUGCGCGUCAAUUGCAGAUCCACGGCUGAGGUUUAAAGCACCGGGUAGUUGAGAGCAUUUAAUGCUAAACCGUUAUAACUCAUUUUGGGCUUAUACUGCAACCCCUUGGGUUGUUAAGAUGAUAUUGAAGGGUGCCAUAAAUUCAUUUUACACUUUGAAAAACACUUCAACUCUUGAUCAUUCAUUGUGAACUUAUUUGUAAAAAUCAAAGGAGAAAAGAGAAAAUCACUCUAGAGAGGAGCCUAUUAUUUGUAUUUAUUUUUCUCUAGAGUUGGUUUAGCAUUGAUUACUAAAUAAUUUUAACUCCUUUAUUAAACGAGAUCACCUUGGGUGAUAUACUGUAACUCCAAGAGAGGUGCCUUUGAAUACUAGAAUUUUUCUAGUGGAUGGAAUUCAAGAAAGAGGGAAAUUUCUGAAGACUAGAAGUAUUUAGUGGUGUAAAAGGUUGAUACGCAUCCAAAAGUUUAUUGUUGAUAGUGAAACUAGAGGUGUCAAAACGUGGUCCGUGUGCGUGCGCGUGCAACUUUUCUUCGUGCACAAACCGUGCUUGGGGCGUGCCGGUGUGGGAAUUCCCAUUUACUAACGUGCCUUGUCGUGCCGUGGCCUUAAUAGUGUUGUGCCAUUGUUAUCCGUGCCGUGCUCGUGACUAUUUUUUUUUAUUCGUGUCGUGUCGUGCCGUGCCAUUUUCUAAACCGGUCGUGUUUGUUUUUGUUCCGUGUGGCCCAUUUAACUAAUCGUGUUAUGUCGUGCGGCCCGCUUACUUAAUUAUGCGGUGUCGUAGCGGCCCGCUAACUUUAGGUCGUGGACUCGUGCAUGCCGUGCCGUGCCAGGUUCUACUUAAUCGUGUCGUGCCCAUGUCCGUUUUUAUCGGUCGUGUCGGUCGACUUAAAAUUUAGCCAACUAAAAUACAUUAUAAUAAGGAGGGUAAAUGACGAACAAAAUCGUUAUUAACAUUCCAUUGAGAAUAUAAUGUCCUAUUUAUUUAGAAUCUAGCAAAUCUAAAUUAAUAAUAUCACAACCAACUAUAAAAAGUGAAAAAAAUGCAGGUUCCGAGGGGUUAUGCCAAACACCACCUCGUUAUAUUCAACCAAGUAGAUGAGGGCUUCAAUAUUCGAUUAGAUUUCAAAAUUCGGUCGGGAGUGACAAUACAACAAAGGAAUGGUAUGUGAUGUCAUAAUUAUGUUACGAUUGUGUGGUGAGGUGCGUAUAGUAAUAAUCAAAUUUUAUAUACAUAUUAUGUAAUAUAAAAUUCAAUUUUGAAUCUAUCAAUUCAAAAAAUUUUAUUUUAUUUUUAUUAUUGAAAUUUUAUUUUGAUUUUUUUCUCAUGGUUUAAAUAAAAAUAAGUUUUAUUUUUUAAAAUUUUAUUUUUGUCUUAUUAUGGCCUAAUAUGGGCCAUAAAUCAAAAUUUUAAAAUUUAUUAGUUUUAUUUCAUAAUUUAAUUUUUUAUUUUUAUUUAUUUUUAGUUUUUGUAUUCAUUAAUUUUUUUAAAAAAUAUUUCUCAAUUUGUUUCUUAUUAUGGCAUUUGAAAAGUCAUUAUUAUGUAAAAAUCAUAUUGUAUUAUUGAUUUUAAAUUUACAGCAGGACCAAUGAAAAGUCAAAUUUAUUUAUUUUACUUUUAUUUAUUUUCUUUUAAAUUUUUAAAAAAUAUUUACUAUGGCAAGUCAAAUUUAUUUAUUAAAUUUUAUUUUAAUGUAUUAAUAAUUAAUCAUUUUAUCACUUCCGUGUCGAACAUGUCAGGCCAUUAUCGUGUCGUACCAAUGCUGUGCCCUUGACACAAUUCAGUGCCAUGCCUGUGCGUGCUUGGCUUAAAAGUCUGUGUCGUGCCGUUGUCGUGCCAAACCAAAACAAACUAUCGUGUCAUGCCCAGUGUCGUGCCGGGUUGUUGACCGGCGGUGCCAUGUCGUGCCGUGUGAGGCCAACUGAUCUCUCGCCCAAAAGUGCGCUUGAGAUAGACCCCAAGAGAAGGCCGGCGGAGUAGGUAUACUCGGAGUUACAGGUACGAACCACGGGAGUUGUCGUGAGCAAGACUGAAAGGGAAAAAGAGUUUUCUUCAAUUACUCACAAAGGAUGAACAACAAUAUUUCUAAAAAAAAUUAAAAUCUGAGUGUUUUUAGAAUUGUUUGAGAGUUCUAACAUGGAAAAAUACAAAUAAAUAGCUGGAAAAAAUUUUGUAAAGUAUGUGAAAUUAUCUCGGGGUUGAUCGUUUUCAAUUGAUAUUGUGUCUUGGAAUUAAAAGGUGAGAUGUUAUAACUCAAUCUUUUACUUCGUCAUGAGUCUCAGAUUCGGAGAUUUAGCGA
rnacentral:lncRNA from 1 species